GGCCCAAAUGUGAAGUAGAGUAGAUUAGUAUGGUCAGCUGAUCCUUAAUCUACUCUACUUCAAGUAUGCGCCC
rnacentral:pre_miRNA from 1 species